rnacentral:rRNA from 1 species
AUUGAACGCUGGCGACAGGCCUAACACAUGCAAGUCGAACGAGUGGCGGACGGGUGAGUAAUGUCUGGGAAACUGCCCGAUGGAUGGGGAUAACUACUGGAAACGGUCGCUAAUACCGCAUACCAUCGGAUGUGCCCAGAUGUGAUUAGCUAGUAGGUGGGGUAACGGCUCACCUAGGCGACGAUCCCUAGCUGGUCUGAGAGGAUGACCAGCCACACUGGAAAUGAGACAAGGUCCAGACGCCUACGGGAGGCAGAAGUGGGGAAUAUUGCAAAAUAGGCGCAAGCCUGAUGCAGCCAUGCAGGGGGUAUGAAGAAGGCCUUCGGGUGGUAAAGUACUUUAAGCGAGGAGGCGUUACUCGCAGAAGAAGCACCGGAUAACUCAGGGCCAGCAGCAGCGGUAAUUC